AAAAUGACAGCACAACCACCAUUUGUCCCAAACUGUGAUGAUUAAAUGUAGCAACUCACUUACUCAGAUGGCUAGUGCAGAGAGAAAAAGAGGGAGACAGUGAAAGGAAAUUGGAAUUGUUAGGAAUCCUAUCCAUUACUUAUAUCUUUUUUAUUCCUUGUUCUUAUCAUUGUAUUAGGUCUUCAUGUGGCUAUUUCUUUAAAGACAAAGAACAACGAAGAUUGAGCCCAGCAUCUUGCUAUUAAGGAAAAUCUCUCUUGCAUCUCCACCCAUCUACAAGCUUCAUAACAGCUGACAGCACAGGCUUCUUGCGGUGGACUGAAUUUGGCUCUGAAAAAAUUCUGAAAUCCUAAUAUCAAGAACCUGGGCUAGAGCACUGAAUUAUAUGGGAAUCUGGUGGCGACAAUCACACCUGUUGCUAUGGGUGAAAUGUGUCCUGCAACAUUCAUGUGUUGGAAAGUUAAUCUCCAAUGCAACAGUAUUUAGAGGUGAGAGCUUUAAAGAGGCGAUUUGGCUAUAAGGGCUCUGACGUCAUGAGUGGAUUAAUACCAUCAUCACUGGAGUGGGUUAGUUAUCUCAGGUAUGGGUUUAUUAUCAAAAUAACGCAUUUGUUAUGAAAACUAGUUAGCCGCUCUCUAGCUCUCGUUUGCUCUCUUGCCUUUCUGUCUUCGCUAGGAUGAACCAGCAAGAGGGCUCUCAUCAGUGGCUGACCAGAUGCCAGAAACAUGCCAUUGGCGUGCCCAGCCUUUAGAACAAUGAGCCAAACAAAUUUCUGUUCAUUAUAAAUUACGCAGUCUCAGUUAUGCUGUUACAGCAGCAAAAAGCAGGCUGAGACACCAGUCAUCUUUUAAUAUUUUAAGGUGAUACUAACCAAUUUUUUCAAAUAUAUAAUAUUGUUCCUUCUUUUUUUUCUGGGGAAAUGAAUACUUUAAGAAGUUUCCCACGGACCUUCCGCACUAUAAUACCUCUUACCACACAAACUAACACAUCCAUGUUGAGAUUCUGCCAACUACCAAGUCUCUAUUCAGGUUACAUUUAGAAAGCAGGAACAUGCCCACUGGGCAGUUCAUAGGUCCAUUAGCUCCAUAGUGAACCAGACAUGUUCUGGAACUUCAUUAAUAAUGCCACUCUAACAAGAGGAAAAUGGUGGUGCUUUGGGUCCACAGAUAUCAAUGCCGAUUCAGAUCCAUAUCCAAUAAUCCCCAAAAGGUGUGACUACGUCCUUUCCUUCAUGUGUGGUUAUUUACUACAUAAUUGUCAGUUAUUUUUAGAAAGAAUAGGAGGAAUUACUCUUUAAUGUACUUGUGGUGUUGCCUGAUCCUUUCUCACACCGUGGAUUCUGGAUCUGAGAACUAUACUCAGGUCUUAAGACUGGGAAAGGGAAAGCAAUAUUUUAUUAGUAGAGUUGCAUUCAGUCUCCUAAUUAUCCAUUCUUUAUUUAUUUUAAUAAUGUAAAUUAAGCAACAUAUUUGAUGACUUCCUAAGUUGUCUUUGAAAAUACUGUGUUAUAUUAAUCAUAUGUAUAAUCAUAUCUCUAGUCAUAUAUCAUGCAUAUAUAAAAAAUGAUAUAUAUAACAUCUCUGCAAUUCAUACCUCCUCUGCCUGCCACUUCAGCUUUGGUGCCCAGGGUGGUAAGUGUGUCCUUCUUACUUUGACAGUUAAGAGCCACUAUCUGACUUCGUUUUAUUUCAGGAUACUCUCAUACCUGUUUCUUUCAGGGAGGCCAGUCCUGUCACAGUAUUCCCUGGUCUACAGAGGAGAACCAUACUGAGUUCAGAAAUGACAGUGCCUUUUUCACCAGUGUAAUCCGUGUUGCUUUAGUGAAUGAGCUGUGCUUCUAAUCUUUCUUGGAAUAUAGUUUGCUGAUGGUUUUUCCGAUUUUACAUAGUAUGUCACUGUAGCAUGCACAUUUAAUGCCUUCAUCUUCUAUCUGUCAUGCAGUUCUGGCACUUCUGCUACACUUAUACGGGCCAUUAUUUUUUGAAACUUUCCUAGUGCCAUUCUGCUGUUUUAUCACUGUUUCCUGGUGUCCUUGCCAGUGUGUUAAAUUACAUAUCAUGUGAGAGUGCUCCAUAUUGAUAAAGUAUCUCAUAUCCAACUCUAAGUUCUAUGCCCCUUUUUAUGUCACCUUCAGGAUCCAGUUUCAUUCAUGUUCUCCUGGUUCCAAUGGUACCUAUUAGACAGGUCCUACAAUUCCUUUACUUAUAGUCUCUUUCUUCCCUUAGCUAGUUCAGUGCUUGUCUCAUUGAAAUGUGCUGGCAUUUAACCUUUAUUAUUGGAAUGUUUGCCUGGAAGGAAAUAAGGAUAGCUCCUCAGUGUGGGGGGGUCUUAGAUGGAAGCAUUGUCUUUUAAAGGACCUAAGUCAUUUGAAAUUUCUGUAUGAUCUCCAAGUAAUGCUUUCUUUAAAAGAAGACCACUAUCUAGUAUCAAAGGAAUUAGAAGAUACUUCCACCAAAAAAGAGCAUUUGGGGGAAAAUAGAACUUCAAGGUUUUUAGCUGUGUCUAAUCAACUGUAUUCAUUCUAAAUCUAAGGGGAAUAUUUCUUUCUUGUUAGCGUCUUGACAUUGGCUUAUGGAACCCGCUGAGGUGAAGAAUCCAGCUAUCUUUGAAGUUCCACUAGUUGUAUUAUUAACUUUUGAAUUUAGUCCUCUAGUGACUGCCCACCAGUGGCAGAUGAUUAGAGUCUCCUUAGAUUCUGCCAAGAGUCCCUCUGGCUUUCACAUUUUACCUUGGAAUGAUGAUUAAUUAAUCACCUGAGCUCGUCAUUAUCAACUCUUAAAUUAAAAUAAAAUGCUUCUCAGUAAAGUUUAUUUACUUUGUAGUCCUUAUACUUAUUAUUUUCUAUAUGGCAUCAAGUUCCAGAAGUAAUUACAUAGCCAGUAUGUCUUCUUCCACCAGUACUGCAUCUGAGUUCUGAGUUCACUACUUGUAACAGUUUUAUCAACUGUGAAAUGUGAAGUCUACUCAUCCUCCACUUACCACCAGCAAUAGGGCCCUCAUUGCUAGAUGGCCUGAAUAUUUUGAUCCAGUUUUGGAAUAUUAUUCUACAGUCUGCUUUCUAGGACCCCUUCUAGUAACAACAGAAUCAUAUGAAGUUCCCUAGACAUAGCCUCUAAGAUGGAGAGUUUUAUGCAGAGAGGAUUUAUUGGAGAAUGCUCUUGGUAGAUGUAUCUGUGAGGAACCAGAAAAAGCAGGAUUAAGCAGAAAGAGAAGUCAACCCAAAACACAGUUUCAAUAAAGCUUUAGAACUGGAAUGACUCUUCAGUGUUUUUCUGACAUGAAAUAUAGUGUCUAGGCCUUUAUAUCAUUGCAUGAUCCAGUGAUGGACUAUGGUGUCUCCCUAGUAGAAUACUGUCAGAAUAGAGUUCUUGUCGGGCGCCGUGGCUCACGCCUGUAAUCCCAGCACUUUGGGAGGCCAAGGCGGGCGGAUCACAAGGUC